rnacentral:rRNA from 1 species
UGUCCAGACUCCUACGGAGGCAGCAGUGGGGAAUAUUGCACAAUGGGGGAAACCCUGAUGCAGCGACGCCGCGUGAGCGAUGAAGUAUUUCGGUAUGUAAAGCUCUAUCAGCAGGGAAGAAAAUGACGGUACCUGACUAAGAAGCCCCGGCUAACUACGUGCCAGCAGCCGCGGUAAUACGUAGGGGGCAAGCGUUAUCCGGAUUUACUGGGUGUAAAGGGAGCGUAGGCGGUUACGCAAGUCUGGAGUGAAAGGCGGGGGCCCAACCCCCGGACUGCUUUGGAAACUGUAUAACUGGAGUGCAGGAGAGGUAAGUGGAAUUCCUAGUGUAGCGGUGAAAUGCGUAGAUAUUAGGAGGAACACCAGUGGCGAAGGCGGCUUACUGGACUGUAACUGACGUUGAGGCUCGAAAGCGUGGGGAGCAAACAGGAUUAGAUACCCGCGUAC